rnacentral:rRNA from 1 species
GACGAACGCUGGCGGCGUGCCUAAUACAUGCAAGUCGAGCGGACCAAAGGGAGCUUGCUCCUGGAGGUCAGCGGCGAACGGGUGAGUAACACGUGGGCAACCUGCCUGUAAGACUGGGAUAACAUCGAGAAAUCGGUGCUAAUACCGGAUAGUAAAAAGAACUGCAUGGUUCUUUUUUGAAAGAUGGUUUCGGCUAUCACUUACAGAUGGGCCCGCGGCGCAUUAGCUAGUUGGUGAGGUAACGGCUCACCAAGGCAACGAUGCGUAGCCGACCUGAGAGGUGAUCGGCCACACUGGGACUGAGACACGGCCCAGACUCCUACGGGAGGCAGCAGUAGGGAAUCUUCCGCAAUGGACGAAAGUCUGACGGAGCAACGCCGCGUGAGUGAUGAAGGUUUUCGGAUCGUAAAACUCUGUUGUUAGGGAAGAACAAGUGCCGUUCGAAAGGGCGGCACCUUGACGGUACCUAACGAGAAAGCCACGGCUAACUACGUGCCAGCAGCCGACGG